rnacentral:rRNA from 1 species
UACGUAGGGUGCGAGCGUUGUCCGGAAUUAUUGGGCGUAAAGGGCUCGUAGGCGGUUUGUCGCGUUGGGAGUGAAAUCAUCUGGCUUAACUGGGUGCUUGCUUUCGAUACGGGCAGACUAGAGGUAUGCAGGGGAGAACGGAAUUCCUGGUGUAGCGGUGAAAUGCGCAGAUAUCAGGAGGAACACCGGUGGCGAAGGCGGUUCUCUGGGCAUGAUCUGACGCUGAGGAGCGAAAGUGUGGGGAGCGAACAGG